CAUCCAUCAGACAGAAAUCUCUCACGCUGAGGUCUUUUCCUCUCCACUUUAACACGUAGCUCCUCCGAAGUUUAGCCAGAGUGAAAGUGACAUCUGCUGGAGAGGAGGACCACAACGACCACCAGGCGGCCUCCCCACUGAGCAGGUGGCGUAAAGUCGGUUUUUAGAGCUGCUGCUGCUGGAGGCGACACUGGUGAGAGCGGUGAGAUUGAACCCAAACAGUUAAGUUGCCGAAAAACCAAAACAAUGAGCUGAAAGAAGCUAAAGCGCUCUGUAGAGUUGGGUGAUAAUUAUCGGUUGGUUCAUCACUACGAGCGACAUGUUUCACAUUAAAUACAGUAAUUUAUUUCCUUGUUAACAUAAAAAUAUUGAUUAGUGCAGCUUUAAGUUUUACUUCUUCAUGUUUUAUCUUUGAGUAGCUUUAAUGUUCAUAAUAAAUUGUAGUUAAUUGUUACCAUGCUCAUUUGGGAGGUUGUUAAAUCCUGCUUAGGGCCCCAAAACGGCUUGGACCAGCCCUGCAUUAUUAUAGUUAUGAUACCAACGCUGUUAAAGAGGCAUUAUGUGAAAUAGAAGAAAAUGGUCCACAAUCUCAUCUCACAAUCUCAUCUGAAAAUGUACCUUUUUGAUGUUAAAGAACAUGUUGACUUUCGUCUCAGCAUCUCAUCUAUGUCACACAGCCUCGCGGUAAAAUCCCUCCCCCUGUCUGAGUUCAUUCACAUGAGUCGCUCCAUACAGAUUGUUCAGUCGCCCGACAGUUUUUCGUUUCCCACAAAACUUUUCCACAUUGAUGAAGCCUGAGAACCACGGAGUUGUGUUAAUGUUACAAAAAACACCUUGGAAACAUCAAUAUAUAGAAGUCUGCACACAAACUGUGAAUGUAUUUAUUUGAGCAUUACAUCAAGUUACCAAACUUGUUACUAUACAAAGUAAAUCAUUUGAAUGUCUAUUAGUGGCAUUUUACAUUUAUAGACAUUUUGUUUUAUUAAAUUCUAGUACAAACAUGAAAUUUAGCAAACUGAAGAUGCCCGGGUGAAAAAGGCCUUUCUUAUAGCGGCUCAUAGUCUAUUUAGUCCUAAAUAAUAAAAACUUAAAGUGGUGAUGCUGCUUUAGGAUUUACAAUCUAAAUGCAAAACAUUAAGGUGCUAAAGUACAACAUACUAAUAACUGAAGUGAAAUUUGCGUGUUUGAGACUAAUAUCAAUAAAUAAAACAAGCUUGUAUGCUAAGAGAAUUUUCUACAUCACUGUUUUAUUAGAUUUUCUGUAGUUAUUUUUAUUAAACAUGUUUUUGUGUUUUGUUGUACUAUAAAAUGCAGGAAAUAAAAAAGGCUGCAGGUCAAACUAUAAUGCUGAGAUCCUUGUUGACAGAUGAUUUGCUCAUUUAUUGCAUUAAAAUACAAUCACUGAAGAAAUGUGCAGAGUGGUCAAACUACACUUAUAUUUGCGUGUAAAUGUUGUGAUUGCACAGAAAGUGUGAAUUGUUUGAACAAAUGACAACUCUUCCUGCUGGGACUGAACAAUGACUCACAUUUUCCACCUGGGACACUUAGAUUUUCCUUCAAGCAGACACCACAAACACAUUAUCUCUCUCAACCUCCUCCAUCACAAACCUUCUCCGACGUACACAAACAAACAGUCUGUCACGUAAACCGCCCACAGAGCCGCUCUGACAGGCGGCGGUCUGCUGCUGAGUGUUUCUCAUUGAUCUCAGGCGUUUGGAUGCUUCAGAUGGACCCUCUCUGCCAUCUGCCUGGCGCUGUACAGAGACACUCCCAUCCCCACUGUGGCCAUCGUCAUGGCGAUGGGAUCGAUGAGGCUGCUCUGUGGCUGCAUCUGGACCUCACCUGAGACCUGCCUCUGCAGACAGGACGGACAGGAAAAUGAAACUUUGAUACCAAAGUUGGAAAAGUUCAAAUCAGUGGCUUUAAACUGACCAGUAAACGACGCCUCAUUUAGUAUCUUUUUCAUUUGCACUUGUGUGGCAAGACAGUCAGCUGAAUAUUAAGUUGAGACUUUAUUAGUCACAGAGCCAAAAAGUAGGUGGAGGUGGAACAUACAAACCACUUUGCUUAACUUCAGUUCAAUACAAAGAUUUGUGUUUUGUGACUGUGUAGUGCAUCACUGUUAAUGAUGCAGCGACAUUAAGGUGCCGCUUCUGACCGUCCUCAGCUCUGUCUUGUAUGCAUAUGUUGCUGGUUUGAACUGUUUAAUUCAGUUCAGUACAAAAACUGAGUCCACAUGAGCUCUGUUUCUGAGGUCAGCCACCACAGAGUUAUCACAUCAUGAUGUUUCUCUGGCUUUCGUGGUCUUUCAGCGAGAUUUUAAAGCCACUGUAUUUAGUAUUUAGUAGAAUUUUAAAAAAUUCAGACAAUGGUAGUAUCAGAAAAGACACUGUGGCGACUAACUCCUCCCCACUAUAUUCAUAACAUUUCUCUUUCAUGCAGCCUCUUGUGUGCAACGUGAACUGUGAGUCUGAACAGGUUAUAUAACCUCCUGAGAUGAGCUGCAUCAGCUUUCUGUAAAAUAUUAAUUCACUUGUUGUCUUUCACUGUCCUCCCUCAAUUUAAAGCAUUUCUAUAAAAAAUGUAUUAAAACCAAAUACUCCAAAUGUUUA